GACGAACGCUGGCGGCGUGCCUAAUACAUGCAAGUCGAACGCAGUGGGGACGGGUGAGUAACACGUGGGUAACCUCCCAUCAGAGGGGAUAACACUUGGAAACAGGUGCAAAACUGAUACGGAAGGAGGGACCCGCGGUGCAUUAGCUGGUUGGUGAGGUAACGGCUCACCAAGGCCACGAUGCAUAGCCGUCUUGAGAGGGUGAUCGGCCACACUGGAACUGAGCCACGGCCCAGACUCCUACGGGAGGCAGCAGUGGGGAAUCUUCGGCAAUGGACGAAAGUCUGACCGCGCAACGCCGCGUGUGUGAAGAAGGUUUUCGGAUUGUAAAACUCUGUUGUUAGAGAAGCGUUAUCUAACCAGAAAGCCACGGCUAACUACGUGCCAGCAGCCGCGGUAAUAC
rnacentral:rRNA from 1 species